rnacentral:tRNA from 1 species
GAGAGAGGCCAGAAGCAAUGAGGACUGCUAAUCCCCAUCCCCAUGGUUAA